rnacentral:rRNA from 1 species
UACGUAGGGUGCGAGCGUUAAUCGGAAUUACUGGGCGUAAAGUGGGAGCAGGCGGCAGAGCAAGUCGAGUGUGAAAGCCCCGGGCUUAACUUGGGAAUUGCGCUCGAAACUACUUUGCUGGAGUGUGGCAGAGGAAGGUGGAAUUCCACGUGUAGCGGUGAAAUGCGUAGAGAUGUGGAGGAACACCAAUGGCGAAGGCAGCCUUCUGGGCCAACACUGACGCUCAUGCACGAAAGCGUGGGGAGCAAACAGG